GACGGAAGGUGCAAGCGUUGCUCGGAAUCACUGGGCGUAAAGGGUGCGUAGGCGGCUUGGUGGGUCUGGUGUGAAAGCCCCGGGCUCAGCCCGGGAAGGGCACUAGAAACUGCCGAGCUGGAGUGCCGGAGGGGAGAGUGGAAUUCCUGGUGUAGCGGUGAAAUGCGUAGAUAUCAGGAGGAACACCGAUGGCGAAGGCAGGUCUCUGGGCCACUACUGACGCUGAGAAGCGAAAGCAUGGGGAGCGAACAGG
rnacentral:rRNA from 1 species